rnacentral:rRNA from 1 species
GACGAGCCGUGCGAACGUUGUUCGGAAUCACUGGGCUUAAAGGGCGCGUAGGCGGGCCACCCAGUCCGGGGUGAAAUCUUUCGGCUCAACCGGAAAAGGGCCUUGGAUACUGGUGGUCUGGAGGAAGGUAGGGGCAUGCGGAACCUCCGGUGGAGCGGUGAAAUGCGUUGAUAUCGGAAGGAACGCCGGUGGCGAAAGCGGCGUGCUGGACCUUUGCUGACGCUGAUGCGCGAAAGCCAGGGGAGCGAACGGG